AUUCAUUGCUCUCAUAAUUUGUACCGAAGUCAAUAUGGAGUGGUCAGAAACGGGAAGAUGGGCUAAGUUGCCAAGAACAGUGGACAUGUCAACAAUGAAAAUGAAAUGGAUCGAAUUAAAAGUUUUGGUAAAAGAAAACAGUUGCAUAUACAUGCUGACAAGAAAGGACUUACAUGAAGAAGAAGUGUUGUACAACUAUGAGAAUGGAAGGAUGAUUUGGUGUUUAAUUGAGGAAAUGGAUAAAAAAUAUGUAUGUGUCGAGCAACUAUAGCCACUUGAUAGAAGGGUAAAUUAGAAAGUUCAGAUUACAUUAUGCCAACAAAGAUGAUAACAAAACCAACCAAGCUAAAAGUUGUCCAGGAAAACUUUUGUAUUGGAGCAAGACAAGUUAAUGACUUAAUGAUAGACUCACUGCAGAGAGAGAUGUUGGAAAAGUGGAUUUUGUUAACAAAAGGAAGAUAAGAUCAAGGCUGCCAACCUUUGAGAGAAACACUUCAAAAAAGAGUGUUUAAAUUCAAGACAUUCAGUUACAGUACUCUAUAAAAAUUAUAAAGUAAAAGUUAUUUAUUUAAUUUGGAAAAGUAUUUGAGAAACAGAGGAUGUGAAAAAGACUUUGUCCAUUUCAAGCUAUCUGUUGUCAAGUACCAGGCAUAUGUGGAUUUUAUUCAACAACUUUAUUAUAAAUUUGAAUAGCAACUUUCAAUAUCUGGAAGCAUUUUUAUCAGUAGGGAUGUAGAUGUUAAAUUAUAUAAAAAUUAUUAUUUACCAAGGAUAUUUAUCAAGAAAAUUUUUGUAGAUUAAUAACAGGUAAAAUUUGUAAUGAGAGAUCUUUUAUUGAUCAUUUGCAGUAGUAAGUGACACUUGUUAUAAUU